rnacentral:lncRNA from 1 species
UUAUUUUUGGUUAUCUUUUCAGGACUAGAAUCUCUAAAAUUUUUUCAAAUAAAAAGUUACAUGAGUCAAGUAAUUAUAACAACUGGAGUCCCUGUGAUCUGUUUUUAUUAUUUUUCUAUUGAUUCUGGCUUUUGUGUAUUGUCUCAUCAUGUUUGUUUACCUGAAACACUUUCAGAAAUAGUUUGAGAAUUAGGAUGAUGUCAUCAGUCUCCAGAGAGGAUAUUUUUUUCCAGGCACUGGAGAGUAAUAGCAGUCUGUGACCAAGAUUUGAUUUUGUUUUAGAGCUGGAGUACAAUUAAUACCUCCACUUCAACAGUCUAGUUGAAGUUUCCUCCAGUCUACUUGUGGUUAAAUGAAGCCAAUCUUUUAGUAGAUUUUCACUGGAAAGACUGACAUAGGCAUACUUUAAACUAUUUUUCUAUGAUCUGAUACUUGAAGGACAGCAUGACCUUACAUAAAAUCAUUGGCUUACACUUUCUUUCCUUGAGGUGUUCUUGAAAAUUCUGCUCAAUUUUGCCUUGCUCUUGCUUGUGAAAAGUCUAAUACCCAGUCUAAUUCUCUCUGUAAGUCUUGGGAACUUGUCUUUAUAGUUAAAUAGUUUUUCUAGGGUAUGUCUUGAAGUUUACUAUUGAUGAUCAAUUUUCCUGGUACUCUGUGGGCUCUUUCAAUAUGAACUCAGGUCUUUUUAUUUGAGGAAAGCUUUCUUAGGUUAUUGGUCUUUUCUAAAAAAACUUCCCAUUUUUAAAUAAAUUUUAGAUAUACAGAAGAGUUGCAUGAAUAAUGCACAGAGUGCCUGUAUAUCCUUGACUCUGCUUCCCCUAAUAUAACAAUUCACAGAAACAUAGCACAAUCAUCAAAAUCAGAAA